GACGAACGCUGGCGGCGUGCUUAACACAUGCAAGUCGAGCGAUGAAGUUUCUUCGGAAAUGGAUUAGCGGCGAACGGGUGAGGAACACGUGAAGAAUCUGCCCUCCACUUUGGGAUAACACAGGGAAACCUGUGCUAAUACCGAAUAUUGAAACAUAAGUGGCAUCACUGAGUUUUGAAAGAAUUUCGGUGGAGGAUGACUUCGCGGCCUAUCAGCUAGUUGGUGAGGUAAUGGCUCACCAAGGCAACGACGGGUAGCCGGCCUGAGAGGGCGACCGGCCACACUGGGACUGAGACACGGCCCAGACUCCUACGGGAGGCAGCAGUGGGGAAUAUUGGGCAAUGGAGGAAACUCUGACCCAGCGACGCCGCGUGCGGGAUGAAGGCCUUCGGGUUGUAACCGCUUUCAGUAGGGAAGAAGCGAAAGUGACGGUACCUACAAAAGAAGCACCGGCUAACUAUGUGCCAGCAGCCGCGGUAA
rnacentral:rRNA from 1 species